rnacentral:rRNA from 1 species
AUUGAACGCUGGCGGCAUGCUUUACACAUGCAAGUCGAACGGUAACGGGCCUUCGGGUGCUGACGAGUGGCGAACGGGUGAGUAAUGCAUCGGAACGUACCCAGAGGUGGGGGAUAACGCAGCGAAAGCUGUGCUAAUACCGCAUGUGAUCUGAGGAUGAAAGCGGGGGACCGAGCAGCAAUGUUUGGCCUCGCGCCUUUGGAGCGGCCGAUGUCGGAUUAGCUAGUUGGUGGGGUAAAGGCCUACCAAGGCGACGAUCCGCAGCUGGUCUGAGAGGACGACCAGCCACACUGGGACUGAGACACGGCCCAGACUCCUACGGGAGGCAGCAGUGGGGAAUUUUGGACAAUGGGCGCAAGCCUGAUCCAGCAAUGCCGCGUGCGGGAAGAAGGCCUUCGGGUUGUAAACCGCUUUUGGCAGGAACGAAACGGUGUCCGCUAAUACCGGGCGCUAAUGACGGUACCUGCAGAAUAAGCACCGGCUAACUACGUG